GCAGAGGUGGCAGAACUCGGUAUUGCGCUCGCCUCGAAAGCGAGUCCCUUUGGGAUUGCAGGUUCAAAUCCUGUCCUCUGCGCCA
rnacentral:tRNA from 1 species